rnacentral:rRNA from 1 species
CUACGGGCUGCAGCAGUGGGGAAUUUUGCGCAAUGGGGGAAACCCUGACGCAGCAACGCCGCGUGAAGGAUGAAGGCCUUUGGGUCGUAAACUUCUGUCAGAGGGGAAGAAAUGCCCGUAAGGGAGCUGACGGUACCCUCAAAGGAAGCACCGGCUAACUCCGUGCCAGCAGCCGCGGUAAUACGGAGGGUGCAAGCGUUGUUCGGAAUUAUUGGGCGUAAAGAGCAUGUAGGCGGAUUGUUAAGUCUGGUGUGAAAGCCCGGGGCUCAACCCCGGAAGUGCAUUGGAUACUGGCAAUCUUGAGUAUGGGAGAGGAAAGUGGAAUUCCGAGUGUAGGAGUGAAAUCCGUAGAUAUUCGGAGGAACACCAGUGGCGAAGGCGGCUUUCUGGACCAAUACUGACGCUGAGAUGCGAAAGCGUGGGGAGCAAACAGGAUUAGAUACCCGGGUAGUC